GAUGAACGCUGGCGGCGUGCCUAAUACAUGCAAGUCGAGCGAACGGACGAGAAGCUUGCUUCUCUGAUGUUAGCGGCGGACGGGUGAGUAACACGUGGAUAACCUACCUAUAAGACUGGGAUAACUUCGGGAAACCGGAGCUAAUACCGGAUAAUAUUUUGAACCGCAUGGUUCAAAAGUGAAAGACGGUCUUGCUGUCACUUAUAGAUGGAUCCGCGCUGCAUUAGCUAGUUGGUAAGGUAACGGCUUACCAAGGCAACGAUGCAUAGCCGACCUGAGAGGGUGAUCGGCCACACUGGAACUGAGACACGGUCCAGACUCCUACGGGAGGCAGCAGUAGGGAAUCUUCCGCAAUGGGCGAAAGCCUGACGGAGCAACGCCGCGUGAGUGAUGAAGGUCUUCGGAUCGUAAAACUCUGUUAUUAGGGAAGAACAUAUGUGUAAGUAACUGUGCACAUCUUGACGGUACCUAAUCAGAAAGCCACGGCUAACUACGUGCCAGCAGCCGCGGUAAUACGUAGGUGGCAAGCGUUAUCCGGAAUUAUUGGGCGUAAAGCGCGCGUAGGCGGUUUUUUAAGUCUGAUGUGAAAGCCCACGGCUCAACCGUGGAGGGUCAUUGGAAGCUGGAAAACUUGAGUGCAGAAGAGGAAAGUGGAAUUCCAUGUGUAGCGGUGAAAUGCGCAGAGAUAUGGAGGAACACCAGUGGCGAAGGCGACUUUCUGGUCUGUAACUGACGCUGAUGUGCGAAAGCGUGGGGAUCAAACAGGAUUAGAUACCCUGGUAGUCCACGCCGUAAACGAUGAGUGCUAAGUGUUAGGGGGUUUCCGCCCCUUAGUGCCGCAGCUAACGCAUUAAGCACUCCGCCUGGGGAGUACGACCGCAAGGUUGAAACUCAAAGGAAUUGACGGGGACCCGCACAAGCGGUGGAGCAUGUGAUUUAAUUCGAAGCAACGCGAAGAACCUUACCAAAUCUUGACAUCCUUUGACAACUCUAGAGAUAGAGCCUUCCCCUUCGGGGGACAAAGUGACAGGUGGUGCAUGGUUGUCGUCAGCUCGUGUCGUGAGAUGUUGGGUUAAGUCCCGCAACGAGCGCAACCCUUAAGCUUAGUUGCCAUCAUUAAGUUGGGCACUCUAAGUUGACUGCCGGUGACAAACCGAAGGAAGGUGGGGAUGACGUCAAAUCAUCAUGCCCCUUAUGAUUUGGGCUACACACGUGCUACAAUGGACAAUACAAAGGGCAGCGAAACCGCGAGGUCAAGCAAAUCCCAUAAAGUUGUUCUCAGUUCGGAUUGUAGUCUGCAACUCGACUACAUGAAGCUGGAAUCGCUAGUAAUCGUAGAUCAGCAUGCUACGGUGAAUACGUUCCCGGGUCU
rnacentral:rRNA from 1 species